rnacentral:rRNA from 1 species
UAAUACAGAGACCUCAAGCGUUAUCCGGAAUCAUUGGGCGUAAAGCGUACCGAUAGGUGGUUUAGAAAGUCAGAUGUGAAAUUCCAAGGCUCAACCUUGGGACUGUCAUUUGAAACUUCUAAACUAGAGGGGCAAAGAGGAAGCUGGAACGAACGGUGUAGUAGUGAAAUGCGUUGAUAUCGUUCGGAACACCAAUAGCGAAGGCAGGCUUCUGGGUGCCACCUGACACUGCUAGGACGAAAGCGUGGGGAGCGAAGGGGAUUAGAUACCCCCGUAGUCCACGCUGUAAACGAUGUACAUUAGGUGCUAGGGAGUAUCGACCCUCUUUAGUACCAAAGCUAACGCGUUAAAUGUACCGCCUGGGGAGUACGGCCGCAAGGCUA